rnacentral:tRNA from 1 species
GUUGUGGCUUAGCGGUAGAGUGCUUGCCUAGCAUGUGUGAGGUGCUGGGUUUGAUCCUCAGCAUCACA